rnacentral:rRNA from 1 species
UCGUGGAGUGAUUUGUCUGCUUUAUUGCGAUAACGAGCGAGACCUUAACCUGCUAAAUAGCCAGGCUAGCUUUGGCUGGUCGCCGGCUUCUUAGAGGGACUAUCGGCUCAAGCCGAUGGAAGUUUGAGGCAAUAACA